rnacentral:misc_RNA from 1 species
AAAAAUUUUACUCCAGAUAUGCCAAAUAGCAUAUCAGGACGACCAAGGUUUGUGCUUUUGCUUUGCCAGUGCUUUUUCAGUCUCUAUAAAAAUAUUGCAGAUGAGCCUAACUUCUGCAAUCACAACAUUUUUUUCUGGCUGAAAUCAUCAAUUAAGUUAUGUGAUGUAUGGACAUGGUCACAUGGAUGCAAUUAUGGUAGUUUUGGGUAGCGCUGCACAAAAAUUAACCAAACUGAAUUACUUCAAUUCAUUCUAAACCAAAAACAAUUGUUUUGAUACAUGAUUUGGAUUGGUUUUAAAAUAUAAUCAAACCAACUUUUUUAUUUGGUUUUGCUUUUGGUUUUGGGACAUGAAAAAAUAAUUGAAACCGAACCGAACCGUGAAUGUACUAAAACUACUCCAUUUUGAAUUAUAUAAAUAUUUUUGUUAUAUUAUUUUGCUCUUCUUCUACAUGAUCUAAAACUCUACAUGCAUAAAAUGAAAUUUUAAAUUAUUUCAAAAAAAAAAAAGAAAUUCUACAUAAUUUGGUCCGUGAUACACAAAAUUAAUAUGCAUGUUCAUGUUGUUAUACUUAAUAGAAUGUUUUCAAUUUUUUACUUUAUGUUAUAAACCUACCAAACUGAAUUUUAAUGAUUUGGUUAAGAUAAGUUUUAACUUUCUGUGAUAUGGUUAUGGUUUAUUCAUUUACAAACUGACUGUAUUGGUUUGAUUUGAAAUAUCUUCCUCAAACUGACCAAAUUGAACCAUGAACAACUUUAAUUUUGUGCACUUUGUUUUGUCUAUGUUCUUAUGAAGAUUGUAAGAAUGGAAAUCAUGCAUUAUGAAUUAAUGUGAUGCAACUGUAUAUGCAAUGAUGGGUGGUGCUUUUUUCUCAUAUUAGGGCUUUCAUCAUUCCUGCUGUAUUUUUAUGUGCUAGUCUAUUGUCUGUCCACUUCCUUUAUGGUUUCCUAAUAAGAUAUGAUUGAUUGUAGUAUGACAAUGAACAGCAAGAAUUGUGAAUUUUGCUUCGUGUAAGAUUUUGUUAACACAUGCGUAAUCUAGAGAUAGCUAUGGAUCAUGGAAAAGAUAACAAAAAAUCCAGUACACCUAAAGAGCCAUGAUGAAUAGCUACUGUAACUAGCAUUAUCAGUAUUUGUUAUGAGCAGUGGUGGAACAUACUUAAUACCCAAUUUGGCAUGGAAGUAAUGAACUUGUGCUAAGGAAUAUGGGAGUGCUAAGGAAUAUGGGCUAUAGUCUAUUCAGGGUGUAUAUUAGUUGGUUUUGUACAUCACAGAUAUAUGCAUGGCCUUGAUCUACUAUUUCUCUUCCUAAGGACAAAUGCCAGUAAGGCCAGGUUUUGGUUAUGCAUACAAACGCUUUACUGGGAUUGAAUAUGCAUUUGCUGGGAUUGAAUAUGAUGACUCAUGAUCCUUGCAACUUGUACCCUCAUUUUAUUUAUUUUAAGUUGUUUGCAUCACUAGUUUUAGCUAUAUUUUUUUUUUAUCCAAUAAUGGUUUGUAUGUUUAUGUCUUGUGUGAGAAUUGAUUUGAUUUGAGGCCAUAUGACUGAAACAGCAGAAUCUACUAUUGAUUUGAUGGUAAGGAUAAUGAAUGUUAGUAGUAUACCCAAAGAUUGCCAGUCCUCUUGAUUAUCUUGAAUCUCUUGAUAUUUUGUUGCUAUAGUACAUAUGUACUAAAAUAACGCUUGUAAUGAAUGAGUAUCAGUUGUCUGAUGCAUUUGUUUACAGGCAGGAGGAUGCUCAGGAGUUUUUGAGU